rnacentral:lncRNA from 1 species
CCCGCAUCGGUUAAUCGAUAAUAAAAAACAAAAAAAAAAUCCACGAGUCCACCAACGAGACCGUUCCAAGCCGGACUGACCCUGUUGUGCUACACGUAGGAAUAGGGACACAGACUGCCGCCGUCACCGGAUCCAUGUGCAUCCGACCUCCUCCUCGCUGGAUCCGAGCAUGGCUGGCCAUCUCCACACCAGAUCCAUAGAUGCCCUUCCACGCCAUAGCCAGAUCUAGUGCCCUAGGAGAAAGAGAGAGUGAGGGAGAGAGGAGCGAGGAGAGAUGGAGAGUGAGGACGAGAAGAGCGGAUCCAGUUACCUAUGUCCAAGAGCGGAUCAAGGCCGACCUCCUCCAUGCCCGCCUGAUCCAGUGGAGCUCACCACCAAAUCCGGUGGAGCUCGAUGAGAAGAGCGUAUCCUCCAUGCCACCACCAGGUGUGUGAGCUGGGGGCUAUGUCGGGCCACCACAUCGCCACUAGGUGUGUGAGCAGGGGCCACGUCGGGCCGCCACCAUCGUUGAGCUCCACCAUUGAGAUCCAUGCUGACUCCACUGUCGUGGGGGAGAGAGAGGGACACCGUCGUAGGAGGCAAUGCUAGGGAGAGGAUGAGCAUUGGGGAAGGGAGAGGGCGCGGGGGAGAGGGUGGUCCCGAGUUGGAGGGGGGGCAGCGCCACUCGAAGGGAAUUAAAGGGAGGGCGCUCGAAUGAGUCGGUUGAGGAGGGAGAGGGAGAGGAAGAGAGUGGGAGUGAAGAAAGAAACCUUAACUUCCUUUAUUUAUAUCGAUGAUGGCUACGGUGCCUCGUUUGGGUCUAUUGGGUCUCAGCCUUU